ACGGCACGGAGCAGAACACGUUGUUGGCUGCGAUCGAUUCCCAGACCCCCGAUUGGACUGGAAGCGCACUAGCGUCGCGUCGCCCCCUUUCCCACCCCGCCGUGUCUGGCCACCUAGCCGCGCUCCCAGCCCCAGCCCCAGCCCCACGUACCCCGCACGCCAACAAGACGGGCUCCGGCUCCCCACCGUCGCCUCUGUUCGACAGCUGCUCUGACGCCAGCCCUCUCCAACGUCUGAAAGGAACCGCUGCGACGGCCGGGCGCGCGCGCGUGGCGAGAUGACGUGAACGCCUCCGCGAAAAAGGGUUCGCCGUCUGCAGAUAGACGCGGCGCCCCCCGUUCACCUGCUUAUUUAUUGCUGCGGUGGCCGGUGAGGCGAGGGUCGGCCACAACUGCUGUUCGGAGAGCACAAAGCCAGUCCAGUCCAGUCCGGUCCAGGUCCAGAGCGUUACUGCUGCUAUCCGGCACGCACGCAUCGGGGAUCAGGCACAGGGAAAGUGCCUGGCCUGGCCACAAGAAGAUACUCAACGUCGUCGGAGAUCCGGGGAUGGAAGAAGCAGACGGGAGUGAAAGAGGAGGCAUCCGCUCCGCGCUGCCUCUGGGCUCGCUCAUCGCUCCUUCCGGGGACGAGGUGGAGCUCCCGGAGCUAGAGGGCAAGGUCAUCGGCCUGUACUUCGCGGCGAACUGGUACCCCAAGUGCGAGGCCUUCACGCCGGCGCUGGCCGCCGCGUACCAGCAGCUCAGGGCGCGCGGCGCCGGCUUCGAGGUCGUCUUCGUGUCGUGCGAUGAGGACGGGCCGUCCUUCGAGCGCUUCCACCGCGCCAUGCCGUGGCCCGCCGUGCCCUUCGGCGACCUCCCGUGCAAGAAGAGCCUCAGCGACAUGUUCCAGGUCGAGGGCAUCCCGCGCCUCGUGGUGCUCGCCCCGGGCGGCGCCGAGGUCGUCUGCCCCGACGCCGUCGAGCUCGUGCACCGCUACGGCGACCCGGCGUUCCCGUUCACGCCGGCCAGGGUGGCGGAGCUGGAGGCCGACGAGCGGAGCAAGUUCGCCUCCCAGACGCUCGAGAAGCUCUUCUCCGUCGGCCACGUCAAGAACGGCAGCAAUGAACAGGUUCCCAUCGCGAGCCUGGUGGGGAAGACGGUGGGGCUCUACUUCUCGGCGCACGGGUGCGAGCCGUGCGUCAAGUUCACCGCGAGGCUGGCCGCCAUCUACGGCAACCUGAAGGGCAGGUCGCAGGAAUUCGAGGUGGUGUACAUCCCCAUGGACAAGGACGAGGACGGGUACGAGCGGUCGCGCGGCGACAUGCCGUGGCUGGCGCUGCCGUACGACGGCGCGCCGUCGCGGGAGCUGGCCAGGUACUUCGACGUGCGGGAGAUCCCGACGCUGGUGGUGAUCGGGCCGGACGGCAAGACGGUGACCAGGGACGGGAGGAACCUGGUGAACCUCUACUUCGACAUGGCGUUCCCGUUCACGGAGGAGCAGGUGAGGCUGCUGCAGGAGCUGGAGGACGAGCAGGCCAAGGGGUACGCGCCGUCGCUGCGCCACGCCGGGCACCGGCACGAGCUGAGCGUCGUCUCGGAGAAGUCGGGCGGAGGGCCGUACGUCUGCUGCGAGUGCGACGAGCAGGGGCUCGGCUGGGCGUACCAGUGCAUCGCCUGCGGCUACGAGAUACACCUCCGGUGCGGCCGGGACGCGGAAGACGGCGGCGCCGUGGGAGCUGGUCAGUAGGCCGGAGUACGGGACAGUCUUAUAUACCAUUAAACUGAAUGCUGUGUGUGCGUGCUCUGGGAAAUGUCAUGUUGCUAUUGUCAGGUCCGAUGAUGGUACUAGAACAGACGAGAAAUGCCCGGUGUGGACUGGCUCUUGGCAAGUCUGAUGAUAGUAGAAUAGACGAGAAAUGCGCAGUGUAGCUUGGUUACGGCUGGCUGGCUGCAACAGAAAAGCAUCGCUGAAUGUGGGCUUCUACUUGUUGUGGUUUUGUAACGCCCCGAGACCAACGCGUCGGGUGUCUUUUGGUUAUUCGCUGUUAUUGCUUUGUCAUUCACUUGCGUGUUGCAUCUUGUCAUGUCAUCAUGUG
rnacentral:rRNA from 1 species